CCUACGGGAGGCAGCAGUGGGGAAUAUUGGACAAUGGGCGAAAGCCUGAUCCAGCCAUGCCGCGUGUGUGAAGAAGGCCUUCGGGUUGUAAAGCACUUUCAGUGGGGAAGAAAGCCUUGGGGCUAAUACCCUCGAGGAAGGACAUCACCCACAGAAGAAGCACCGGCUAACUCCGUGCCAGCAGCCGCGGUAAUACGGAGGGUGCGAGCGUUAAUCGGAAUUACUGGGCGUAAAGCGCGCGUAGGCGGUCUGAUAAGCCGGUUGUGAAAGCCCCGGGCUCAACCUGGGAACGGCAUCCGGAACUGUCAGGCUAGAGUGCAGGAGAGGAAGGUAGAAUUCCCGGUGUAGCGGUGAAAUGCGUAGAGAUCGGGAGGAAUACCAGUGGCGAAGGUGGCCUUCUGGACUGACACUGACGCUGAGGUGCGAAAGCGUGGGUAGCAAACAGGAUUAGAUACCCUGGUAGUC
rnacentral:rRNA from 1 species